GACGAACGCUGGCGGCGUGCUUAACACAUGCAAGUCGAACGGAAAGGCCCUGCUUGCAGGGUACUCGAGUGGCGAACGGGUGAGUAACACGUGGGUGAUCUGCCCUGCACUUCGGGAUAAGCCUGGGAAACUGGGUCUAAUACCGGAUAAGAGCCAUUUUUAGUGUGAUGGUUGGAAAGUUUUUUCGGUGUAGGAUGAGCUCGCGGCCUAUCAGCUUGUUGGUGGGGUAAUGGCCUACCAAGGCGGCGACGGGUAGCCGGCCUGAGAGGGUGGACGGCCACAUUGGGACUGAGAUACGGCCCAGACUCCUACGGGAGGCAGCAGUGGGGAAUAUUGCACAAUGGGCGCAAGCCUGAUGCAGCGACGCCGCGUGGGGGAUGACGGCCUUCGGGUUGUAAACUCCUUUCGCUAGGGACGAAGCUUUUUGUGACGGUACCUAGAUAAGAAGCACCGGCUAACUACGUG
rnacentral:rRNA from 1 species